rnacentral:rRNA from 1 species
AGGACGAACGCUGGCGGCGUGCUUAACACAUGCAAGUCGAGCGAGACCCUGCCUUCGGGUGGGUGUUCUAGCGGCGAACGGGUGAGUAACACGUGGGCAACCUGCCCUCAGCUCUGGGAUAACUCCACGAAAUUGGGGCUAAUACCGGAUAUGACCGCUGACCGCAUGGUCUGGUGGUGGAAAGAUUUAUCGGCUGGGGGAUGGGCCCGCGGCCUAUCAGCUUGUUGGUGGGGUAGUGGCCUACCAAGGCGACGACGGGUAGCCGGCCUGAGAGGGUGACCGGCCACACUGGGACUGAGACACGGCCCAGACUCCUACGGGAGGCAGCAGUGGGGAAUAUUGCGCAAUGGGCGAAAGCCUGACGCAGCGACGCCGCGUGGGAUGACGGCCUUCGGUGUAACUCUUCAGCAGGACGAAGCGAAAGUGACGGUACCUGCAGAAGAAGCACCGGCCAACUACGUGCCAGCAGCCGC